UGGGGAAUAUUGGACAAUGGGCGAAAGCCUGAUCCAGCCAUGCCGCGUGUGUGAAGAAGGUCUUCGGGUUGUAAAGCACUUUAAGUUGGGAGGAAGGGCAGUAAGCGAAUACCUUGCUGUUUUGACGUUACCGACAGAAUAAGCACCGGCUAACUCUGUGCCAGCAGCCGCGGUAAUACAGAGGGUGCAAGCGUUAAUCGGAAUUACUGGGCGUAAAGCGCGCGUAGGUGGUUCGUUAAGUUGAAUGUGAAAGCCCCGGGCUCAACCUGGGAACUGCAUCCAAAACUGGCGAGCUAGAGUAGGGCAGAGGGUGGUGGAAUUUCCGGUGUAGCGGUGAAAUGCGUAGAUAUAGGAAGGAACACCAGUGGCGAAGGCGACCACCUGGGCUCAUACUGACACUGAGGUGCGAAAGCGUGGGGAGCAAACAGG
rnacentral:rRNA from 1 species